rnacentral:rRNA from 1 species
GACGAACGCUGGCGGCGUGCUUAACACAUGCAAGUCGAACGGUAAGGCUCCAGCUUGCUGGGGUACACGAGUGGCGAACGGGUGAGUAACACGUGGGUGACCUGCCCUGCACUUCGGGAUAAGCCUGGGAAACUGGGUCUAAUACCGGAUAGGACCGCACCGUGAGGGUGUGGUGGAAAGUUUUUUCGGUGUGGGAUGGGCCCGCGGCCUAUCAGCUUGUUGGUGGGGUAAUGGCCUACCAAGGCGGCGACGGGUAGCCGGCCUGAGAGGGUGGACGGCCACAUUGGGACUGAGACACGGCCCAGACUCCUACGGGAGGCAGCAGUGGGGAAUAUUGCACAAUGGGCGGAAGCCUGAUGCAGCGACGCCGCGUGGGGGAUGACGGCCUUCGGGUUGUAAACUCCUUUCACCAUCGACGAAGGGUUUCUGACGGUAGAUGGAGAAGAAGCACCGGCUAACUACGUGCCAGCAGCCGCGGUAAUACGUAGGGUGCGAGCGUUGUCCGGAAUUACUGGGCGUAAAGAGCUCGUAGGUGGUUUGUCGCGUCGUCUGUGAAAUUCCGGGGCUUAACUCCGGGCGUGCAGGCGAUACGGGCAUAACUUGAGUACUGUAGGGGAGACUGGAAUUCCUGGUGUAGCGGUGAAAUGCGCAGAUAUCAGGAGGAACACCGGUGGCGAAGGCGGGUCUCUGGGCAGUAACUGACGCUGAGGAGCGAAAGCAUGGGGAGCGAACAGGAUUAGAUACCCUGGUAGUCCAUGCCGUAAACGGUGGGCGCUAGGUGUGGGUUUCCUUCCACGGGAUCCGUGCCGUAGCUAACGCAUUAAGCGCCCCGCCUGGGGAGUACGGCCGCAAGGCUAAAACUCAAAGGAAUUGACGGGGGCCCGCACAAGCGGCGGAGCAUGUGGAUUAAUUCGAUGCAACGCGAAGAACCUUACCUGGGCUUGACAUAUACAGGAUCGCGCCAGAGAUGGUGUUUCCCUUGUGGCUUGUAUACAGGUGGUGCAUGGUUGUCGUCAGCUCGUGUCGUGAGAUGUUGGGUUAAGUCCCGCAACGAGCGCAACCCUUGUCUUAUGUUGCCAGCACGUUGUGGUGGAGACUCGUAAGAAACUGCCGGGGUUAACUCGGAGGGAGGUGGGGAUGACGUCAAAUCAUCAUGCCCCUUAUGUCCAGGGCUUCACACAUGCUACAAUGGUCGGUACAGUGGGUUGCCAGUCCGUGAGGGCGAGCUAAUCCCGCAAAGCCGGUCUCAGUUCGGAUCGGGGUCUGCAACUCGACCCCGUGAAGUCGGAGUCGCUAGUAAUCGCAGAUCAGCAACGCUGCGGUGAAUACGUUCCCGGGCCU